rnacentral:rRNA from 1 species
UUUUGACCUCAAGUCAAGCA